CUGUCUCAAAGAUUAAGCCAUGCAUGUCUAAGUAUAAGCAACUAUACAGUGAAACUGCGAAUGGCUCAUUAAAUCAGUUAUCGUUUAUUUGAUAGUACCUUACUACUUGGAUAACCGUGGUAAUUCUAGAGCUAAUACAUGCUAAAAAUCCCGACCUCUGGAAGGGAUGUAUUUAUUAGAUAAAAAACCAAUGCCCUCGGGCUUCUUGGUGAUUCAUGAUAACUUAACGAAUCGCAUGGCCUUGCGCCGGCGAUGGUUCAUUCAAAUUUCUGCCCUAUCAACUUUCGAUGGUAGGAUAGUGGCCUACCAUGGUUUCAACGGGUAACGGGGAAUUAGGGUUCUAUUCCGGAGAGGGAGCCUGAGAAACGGCUACCACAUCCAAGGAAGGCAGCAGGCGCGCAAAUUACCCAAUCCCGACACGGGGAGGUAGUGACAAUAAAUACUGAUACAGGGCUCUUUCGGGUCUUGUAAUUGGAAUGAGUACAAUUUAAAUCCCUUAACGAGGAACAAUUGGAGGGCAAGUCUGGGCCC
rnacentral:rRNA from 1 species